GAAUUCUGGGAAGUGUAGUUUUGUAAGACAUUUAGCCUCCUCUGUCAGAGAGAGCUCUGGUGCCCCAACAAACUACAAUUCCCAGAGAGCCAGAGCAUUUACAACUGAAUUGUUCCUGCAAUCUGCUUUAGACCUAUGAUUCUGGAGACAGGAGUUCAAAUCCUCUUGUAUGUUUCAGAAUUGGAGACCGUAAUUCCACGCAGUGUUCUCAGGCCAGUACUCAACAGACACAGGCAUUGACACUAGGAAAGGCACCAAACUGAGUGAGAGAGGAGAAAGUCAACCAACCUGGGCCAUUCAUUUCAGGAUUGUUUUGCUCAUGUGAGUCACGCUGGUGCCACGAAUUCAGUGUCCCUUGCCUACCAAAGGGGCUUGUGGUCUCACAAGGAUGGAGACAUAUUGGAUUGCAUGGCCAGAAAGAGAAGUUGCAAGUCUGCAAGUAAUAACUCUCCUUACCAUUUGAACUGAGAACAGAAACAGCAAAAUGAAGGACUGUGACGAAUAUCUUCAAUGUUUUUUCUCCUGUAAGGUUUUUAACAACUUGCCUGAAGAAGCCAAUAGAACUUCGAAAACUUGCAACAUG